rnacentral:rRNA from 1 species
UAUUUUGAUGAAUAUUUAUCUGCUAUUAACAUAAUUCAUAUUACUAUAUAUUUUAGGAUAUGAAAUUUUACUUUGAGAAAAUUAGAGUGCUUAAAGCAGGCAUAUGCCUUGAAUACUCCAGCAUGGAAUAAUAUUAAAGAUUUUUAUCUUUCUUAUUGGUUCUAAGAUAAGAAUAAUGAUUAAUAGGGACAGUUGGGGGCAUUUGUAUUUAACAGUCAGAGGUGAAAUUCUUAGAUUUGUUAAAGACAAACUAAUGCGAAAGCAUUUGCCAAGGAUGUUUUCAUUAAUCAAGAACGAAAGUUAGGGGAUCGAAGACGAUCAGAUACCGUCGUAGUCUUAACCAUAAACUAUGCCAACUAGAGAUUGGAGGUUGUUCCUUACUCCUUCAGCACCUUAA